UGCUCAAACAGGAUAAGCCUGCAAUCUACCGUCAUUAUAUAUGAACUAGUUUUAAAAUAUCAGAGUCGACAGAAUUCCGGAUCGGUAUGGUUCUGGCGCACAGUUUAGUCACUGGAAUUUCACCUAAAAUAUUCGAGGACAGCCUAAGUUUCACCCCCAUAGAUCGACAUGCCCUUCGGGCUGGUUCGUACAUGUUCGGGUUUUUUUUAUUUGUACGUUCAAAACAAACAUUGCAUUAUUGAUCAAAAAAUUGUUGACUAAUGUUAUUUUAUAUUUUUUUAAGAGUAAAACACAUGUACACAAAUAUUUCCUUGUUACUAAUUAUGAGAUUUUCAGGUAGCGUGUGGAGAUUUCAUCUUAUGUUCAUGAGCGCACAACGUUUAAAAUCAUAAGAAAUGUUUUCUGGUGGUGUGUAGCAGUUAACCGCAUUUAAGUAAAAAUAUUUUAAAUAAUUGUUACCAGAGCUGAAUUACAUUCAGGUGAGUGCACUUAAUAUAAUUUGGGGUAUUGCAGGAAAAAUUAUAAAUUCCUAAAGUGUUUUUUACUUCCUGACAUGUUUAAAAUUAUUAUUCUCUAUGAGGGUUGUUUGAUACUGCAAGUAGUUUAUCAUGUUUAACAUGCGGAUAUGUUAGGAUUAUUUAUUACAAAUCUGUAAUAUUGAGAUACUGCCCUUGGGUUAGCUGGAUUAAAAAUACAGUGAAAUUUGUUAGGUUAGUAACAUUAUACGUACACUGAUUCUAAGUACAGUGGAAUUUACAUUUGGUUAGCUUAGGAUAGCGCCAAUUAAAAAUUCUGUAAAAUCAAUUGAACGGUUGGAUGUUACUAACAUUAUCUAACCAACCAAUAUACAUUUUACAGUGUUUUUUUAGGUUAUUAUCUCACGUUGCUGCUUUUUGUAUGCAAAAUAAACUUUGGACAUUUUUUUUUUAACUUUAAAUAUGUACCUGUAUUUACUCUGAAAAAAGUUUUUCUAAAUUCAGACUGGUUUUUGAGAAAUCACUGUUUAUAGGUUACAUUACAUUACCUGUGCAGUAAAGGGCCUGUAACCAUGUUGUUCUUUAAUUGAGUUGCAGAUCCUGUUGUUUUUCAUACACAAAUUGUAUAUUUUUUAUUUGGAUAUUGCAAUGCAGUAACGUAAAUUAACACUUUAAAAAAGUUAUGUGACUCCUUAUUGUGCAUUCCAAACCCAAAGCAUCAGUCCUUGAGAGCGAUAUUUUUUAGCAGUUGAUAGGUGCAAAAUUCUGAUUUUUUACGUGAGACAACACAUAACCUGACAUAUAAAAUAAAUUUUCAUUUUGUAAUAAAUGAUUCCUUUUAUAACGUCAGGUUACAUGCUAUUGCAGGUAACUAAUCUGCACUUUGCGCCUCCAUACUGCUAUAAAAAAUCCCUGUCAAGGGUUGGCGUUUUGGUUUGGAUAUACAUUAGAGACUCGUAACUUUUUUAAAACUAUUAUUUACGUUUCAUCAGGUUAUAAUAUUCAAAUAAAAAAUAUAUAAAUUCUUAUAUAUAUGGAAAACCACAGGAUCUGCAAUGCAAUUAGAGGGAAAAAUGGCUACAGCUGCUUCACUGCAUAAGCUAUCUAGUGUGCAAAAUGUGAUUUCUUGAAAACCAGUAUAAAUUAAGAAAAGCUGUUUACAGUUUUAAUAGAGGAAGGUUUUUAGUGUCUGAAAAGGUAUUUUCAAAAUUUUAUAAUUUUUUUUAUGGAUAAGCAGCAACAAAAGAAAAUUACCUUUUUUUAAAUUUAGCUAACCAACCAUUCACAUGAUUUUACAAAUUUUGUAUUGUUUAUACUUACCUGCUUUAACAUUAAACUACUGUUAAACAAUUUAUUUCAAUUUUUUAAAAAUAUCUUUGGGAAUUAGCGCAGUAUAAUCGAAGACGUUUACUGUAUUGAUGAUUGAUUUACUUUAUUGAUGCACAACAAAGUUGUAUAAUUGUUAGAUUGGUUAAGCAAAUUCAAGCAUCAAGGGUACUGAUCAAUGGUUUUUAACAUUAUAUUUUCUUAAUGAGUCCAUUGGUAAAAUAUAAAAACACUGGAAUGGCUAAAUUUUCAUCGACUGCUUAUGUUUUUUUCCGCAUGCUCACUUGAAAACAAUUACAGGGUUAUACUGUAGUUCACAGUUGCAAUACUUGGUUAGGUUAGUUACAUAAGUGCUGUUAAAUCAUGAAAAUGGUUAGGGAAAGGUAACUUCUUUAUAACUACUGUAAAAUGGUGUAAGCUAUUAUUCUUUAGGUAAGUUUACCUAGACUUUAAAAAUAAUUUAUUUGGCGAAGUACAUAGUACUAAGAAUUACUAUUUAUCAAAUUUGGUUUGUGUGGAAAAGUUGUUACUCUAGGAAAUUUCUGAAUCCAUCUUUGUAGGAAUAUAAACUAAUAUUAUUAGAAACAAAAAAAAAACAAUGUGUGGUAUAUUUUAAUUUUCUAACACCCUCUGAACUCUGCAGUUAUGCGAUUACCGAUAAUAAUUGUAAAUCAUUGCAAUAUACAUCCAACACAUUUUGUAGUGAUUUCACAACUGUACUAUGAAGUAAUGCCAUCAACUGCUGCAAAAUAACAUGCUGACAUCUUUUCUCGUGUAGGCAUUUUGUUGAUACGACUAAAAUAUGAGCAUAUAGGAUAUAUAUAGAAUCUUACAAAUUUUGGUACCUACUAAUACUCUCCCCAAAGACUUUGAAAAAAAAAAAAAAAAAAAAAAAAAAAAAAAAAAAAAAAAAAAACUGCUCAUGUAACAUGUAUUACGUGAAAUUAAUUCUUUUUGUAAACAUUUUGCUUGAGUCAAAGCCUAGAUUUGCUUAAGCUAAUAACAAGCAAUUACAUCACUUGAGGCCCUGAGAAACAUACUUCUAAAAUUGUGUAGUUACUUGGAUUGUUAAAUACCUAGUUUUUCUGCAAUAAUGGGCACAAGAGCAAUAGAAUUAUGUUUUUCAUAUAAUUUUUUUUCACAUAAAUGAGUUUUUGUCAAAAAGUAUUUGGAAAAAAAUUACUGUUUGAAAGGACAAAGAAAAAUGUUAAUUGUAGUACAUAAAUGAGAAUUUACCAAAAUAUUGAAUGUAUCAAAUUUCUAACUAAAAUGGUUUUGAAAUUAAUUUAUCAUUCUGGUAUGCAUAACUUUUUUCUUUGAUACAUUUAUUUAUCAGUUUCAUUUCUCUUUAGUACAAUAUAAAUCAUUUAACUUUGAUUUCUUUUUUGUUUCAGGCUUGUGGAGAACAGCUUUUUUUUUAUCUACUCUGUGGCUGGCCAAUGUAAAUAAGCAAUGAUUUCAUGAAUGCAGCGAGAGAGUUUAUUUGAUGUAUUUUAAAAUCACUGAUAAUAUUUAUUGAUGUAUUUUAAAAUCACUGAUAAUAUUUAUUGAUGUAUUUUAAAAUUACUGAUAAUAUUUGUUUUGUGGCUGGAAGAUGGUAACCAUGGUGACUUGUGAAUUUUUAUGAAGAUUAAUAAAAAGCAGUAAAAAUUAUUAAUGGUUGUCAGAAGGAAUUUUUUUUUCAAUGAUCAAUCAAUCAUCUACAUUCUACAGUAACAAUUUUCCUUAACUCAAAUAAUAUUUCAAUACAUAUCUUAUAAAGUAUUCAUAUAUGUACAAUAUAGACCAAUUUUGAGCUAGUCUGAUAUCAGUAUAUUAGUUAUUAUGAACAUAUACUAUCAGAACUACCAUUUGCAUAUAGUGCACGUACAUACAUAACACUAGCCAACAACCAUUAAAAAAAACACUACUAUAUACACUUACAUAAAAAAAAAUCAUAGACAAGUACAGAUUAUUCACUAUUAUAUUCUAGAGCCAAUUCCAAUAAGUGUAUUAUCAAUAAAAGAAAAUAAUUUUUUUAAAGAACAAUAUUUCGAUAUGAAGGAAAAUCUGUAUUCUGAAGUUCUUGUAUAUGUUUGGUACCAAUCAAUGUAAAUUAAUCAAUCUUUGAUAAAAAAAAAAAAUCCCGAAAAUGAUUUAUAAAUUAAAAAAAUUAUUGCCUACCAGCUCUGGGUUUUGCAUGAAGGUUCAACUUCUCUGACUUCUGAGAUUACACACAAGAUUUUAAUUAAUAAUACUAUUGGCUUCAUUACUAGAUUAUCUUUCAACCUGUAAUUUAUUAUUUGAAUCAGUUCAUUGAACUGAAAUAUUUGCAGCAAUUUCUUUAAAUGUUUAUGAACUUGGAUUAUUUAAAAUACAAAUGUAGGUAGGCUUACUAGACCUUUAAUGCCAUAAGAUUGUAAUCACAUAGGCCUGAUUUACAUUAAUAUUUGUGCUAGACUUUGUAAUUAUUAAAAUUUUAUUUUCUGCAAUGUUCCAAAGAGCAUUGCUCUAUUUUGGAACAAAACAAUUUAAUAUGACAGUUUGUUACAACACUAUUCUUCAUAAAACAAUGCACAUUAGCCUGUAUAAUAUGAAUUAGAUCUAACAUAAGAACUACAAACUGCACAUUUGCACUUAAAAUAUUCAUCAAACAGUUAGGGAAAGAGAGUAAACAUAACAUUUAACUCUUAAAUCGUCAUACUUCAUUUUAGUUAUCACACUUAUGCUUGUAUGUGAACGGGAUCAGAAAUUAGCACUGCAAAUGCACUUUUAACACUAAUAAUUAAUUAUAUCAAACACAAAUGAUAUCAGUAACAUAAUACUUCAUUUUUGGUGUUACAGUAAGCUUCCAUAAAUGUUUAUUUUUCUCAGAAAACUUUUUCAUCAGAAAACUUUUCUUGAAUUUAAACAUUACAAUAAAUUUUUAAAUACCUAAUGAUUUGUUACAUAGCAAACCUUCAAAAUAUGAUUUACUUCCAAUUUUUGGAUAAAUGCUAUUGAAGUUUUGCAUUGUUUGCCCUGGAAAACUAUGGAAAUAAAUAAACAAAUAAAUAAUUAAAAAUAUAAAGACACAACUGUAUCAGCUGUAGUUGAACAUACAGAACCAGUGAGGAGAAGAAAAAUAUAAUAAAAUAUAAUAUGUUAAUAUGUUCACUAAAGGUAUGCAAUGGAUGGAGGAUGCCCUACAUUAAUAAUAAUUAGUAACAGAGAACAAAGCAAAUUUCUAGAGAAGAGACUUUUAACAGUAGUAGAAUAAUAAAAUUCUGAAAAGGGCUGUUUCAAAAAUUGCAAACAUUCCUACACAUAAGAAGCCCUUAAUCUCAAAGACUUCAUUCAAUAUACUGGUCAUUACCUGCUGCUCACGAUCUGUAAAGGUAAGGUAAUUAAAUUAAUGGUGGAAAAGGUAAUAAGCAUUUGGUUUGUGGUCUUAUAAAUGUGGUCAUUAGAGGCAAACAUUAGGUCUCUGUGUUUAAGUGCUCACUUUUCUGUCACCAAAGUGAUCUGAGUUUGAUUCUCAGCAGGGUCAUUAAUGGAUCUUUUGAUAGUGGGGGACAUAGCAAACAUUGCAGUGGUUAGUUGGUUUUCUCAGAGUUCUUACGUUACUUCACCCAUACAUUCUGUCAUAUCAUUAGCAUUUUAUAGCCCUUCAUUUUUUUGUAAUGAUCUAGAGGUCACCAAGCUGAAAGCUCAAUUAAUUUCCUUCAUUGACAGAUAUAAGGGUUGAGGAUUUGAAGCAAGCAAGAUAAACAUUUUAAUGUUGCUUGCUUCGUCUUCUAUAGAAAAUUAAAUCUAAUAUUUUGAAUUGCUCCUGUGCUGCACUACUUCUAACUGAGAACGAGUAACCUGCACUUUUUAAGGCAUCAAAGAAAUUGUUAUAACUGAUUUCACUGUCUACAUAUCCCGGAAUAGUGUUAUCUUUAUCACUUUUGGUACAAUUUUGCAAUUUAUAUCUUGCUAGAUCAAAAAACGAUAUCGUUCACGUUUUAAAGCUGUAGCUAUAGCCCGCGCUUUUCUACUACCGAAGUUACCCGAUCGAGCGACGUACUUCGGAACUGUUCGGGCAUGUCGAUCUAUGGGGGUGAAACUUAGGCUGUCCAAUAUUCGACACUUUUCCGUGUGCUAUUUGUAGAUGCUAAUAACAAACAGAAUAGUCACUACGCCGUUUCGACCAUGGAGGUAAGAAGUUAGGGAGUGGUUGUUUGGCGUGGAUGCUGAAGUCAUUUUGCUUUUUGGGACACGCCCACUAAUGCGACCAAAACAAACGGCGAAUACAAGUUUGAAAUGGUGUUUUUAAUGAAAUAAAACAAUGUCGUGUUGUGCUUAUGGUUGUACGAAUAGGCUAGCGAAAAAGCAGACGGGAAUUACAUUUCACAAGUAAGUUUAUAUCAAACCAGGAGCUUCUAUAAUUGAAAUGGUGAGAGGAAUAAGAGAAGACAAGACAUGUCUCAAGAAAGAAGAUGAGAUAGUUAUAGCAGCAGGUGGAAAUUACGUGUUCAAGAAAGAAUAAAAAAAUUCGUGUUGUGCUUAUGGUUGUACAAAUAGGCUAGCGAAAAAGCAGACGGGAAUUACAUUUCACAAGUAAGUUUAUAUCAAACCAGGAGCUUCUAUAAUUGAAAUGGUGAGAGGAAUAAGAGAAGACAAGACAUGUCUCAAGAAAGAAGAUGAGACAGUUAUAGUAGCAGGUGGAAAUUACGUGUUAAAGAAACAAUCAAAAACUGUGUAUCUCAGUUUGAAAUAUGUAUUACCUUCAUUAUGUAACACAAAGGUGGCGGUAUGUACAAUCCCACACAGAUUUGACUUGAUGGAUAACUCAUGUGUAAAUAUAGGGAUAAGGAAAACUAAUGAAAAAAUUCUGACUCUGUAGUAAGUACAAUUUUGUACGAGUAGGUAUAUUUUGCUGAUGACGCAAAUCUUCUUAUAACUCCAGAAAAAUAUUGGAAUUAAAAAAUAAAACUGAAUUUGAAAUAAUUAACUUGAAUAAGUGGUUUGAUGCAAAUAAUUUAAAACUUGAAAUAAUUAACCUGAAUAAGUGGUUUGAUGCAAAUAAUUUAAAACUUAAUAUAAAUAAAACAAAAUUUAUUAAAUUUGGUAAUAAAAGACUGCUCGAUCAAGUAUUAUCUGAAUUUCAGAAUCAAGCGAUAAGUCAAACUGAAUCAACUAAAUUCUUGGGCUUACAUAUUGAUGAUAAACUAAAAUGGAAUGAACAUAUUAAUCAAACUAUUCAUAAAUUAAGUAAAGCUUGCUACGCCCUCAGAAUUCUUAGCCAAAUUAUAGACAGAAAUUCUCUACGAACUGCAUACAUUGCACUUUUUCACACACACAUGGUAUAUGUAAUUGAAAUAUGGGGUAAGUGUAGUAAUAGUAUUAAAAUUUUUAGAUUGCAAAAAAAAAGCCAUAUGUAUUAUAUGUUUAGCUGAUACAAGAGCCUCAUGUAAACCUUUAUUUACUGAGUGGAAUAUAUUCCCUUUUUUUUCGUAAUAUAUUUAUAGGUUGCUCUUAUUUGUAAAAUUGUAAAUAAUUUUGUAGAAUCUGAACAUACUGGACCAUAUAUCACAAGAUAUAACUAUAAACUGAAGCCAAAAUUCCACACUUAAGAGGUAUAACACUAUUUAAUAAACUACCUAAAGAAAUUAUAUUACUACAAAAUUUUAAUGAAUUCAAAAAAGUUGUUAGAGAAUACAUCAAAGGAAAAAAAUAUUUAUUUAGCUGGUGAAAUAACACCUUGUAAUGACAAUAUAAAUACCGGUAAUAUGUAAUUUGCUGUAUAAUUAAUAGGACACCCUACAAAUGAUUCAAAGUAUAUUAAAUGAAAAAUAUGUACUGUUUGUUGUGUUGUGUAAAUUGUGAAAAUUAUAAAAUUUGUGAUUAUUUGUUGAAAGUGUAGAUUAGCAAAAUUCAUUAUAAUUGUAAACUUGAUUAUUUUAUUGCAAUUUUAACUAUAUUUAAUUUUUGUUUAUAAUGUGACAAGGUCAAUAUCCCUUGAGCUGUUGGCUCAUGUAGGGAUCUGCAGGUGGAUUGAAAAAAAUAAAAAAAAUGAAAUAAAAUAGAUUGUGUUAUCUGCAUGAAACCAUAAUAUAUUUUCCAUUGAUUUUUGUUGUCCAAAUUAUAUACAUUUAUGUAAUGUCUUGUUAUUUGUUAAUAAAUUAUAGUUUUUACUUCAGUA